rnacentral:rRNA from 1 species
AUUGAACGCUGGCGGCAGGCCUAACACAUGCAAGUCGAACGAGUGGCGGACGGGUGAGUAAUGUCUGGGAAACGGCCUGUUGGGGGGGGAUAACUACGGGAAACGGUAGCAAAUACCGAAUACAAUCGGAUGGGCCAAGUUGGGAUUGGCUAGUGGGUGGGGUAAAGGCUCACCUAGGCGACGAUCCCUAGCGGGUCUGAGAGGAUGACCAGCCACACUGGAACUGAGACACGGUCCAGACUCCUACGGGAGGCAGCAGUGGGGAAUAUUGCACAAUGGGCGCAAGCCUGAUGCAGCCAUGCCGCGUGUAUGAAGAAGGCCUUCGGGUUGUAAAGUACUUUCAGCGGGGAGGCGUUACUCGCAGAAGAAGCACCGGCUAACUCCGUGCCAGCCGCCGCGGUAAUUC